rnacentral:lncRNA from 1 species
CUUGGAACUGAAUCAACGUCUCCAGCUAGCACCCUGCACCUUUCUGCAGCCUUUUUCAGGAUACUUCCAGUGUGAGUUUCCUAGUCAGACAUCCUGAUGAUCCCCUGUGUAGCCUGACUCUGAGACAAGAACCUUAUUAUCUUCUGAUCAGAUUAAUUGCUCAGACGUGUACAGAAAGUAAAAUCUGUUACAGUGUGGAAGCACCAGCACCGAUCAGAUGAAAAUCCCCUAGGGAACUGCCUGUAAGUCUGACCAACAUUUUGUACUCAUACAAAAUGAGUUGUGUUUUAAGAUGAAAAGUGU